rnacentral:misc_RNA from 1 species
GAAAUGCGAUACUUGGUGUGAAUUGCAGAAUCUAGUGAAUCAUCGAAUCUUUGAACGCACAUUGCGCCUUCUGGCAUUCCGGGAGGCACGUCUGUUUGAGCGUCAGCAACACCUCAAAGCUUGCUUUGGUUAUGGGACGGGUCAGCCCCUCUCCGGGGGGCAUGCCCUCCUUAACGUUGCCCGACGAUAGCGAACCAGCAGCCUGGCAGUAGACGUAGUAAAUCUUUCUCGUUUGCCUGCUUGGGAGGCCGGUUGCCAACAAAAACCCCCAAACCUUUUGACCUCAAAUCAGACGAGGAUACCCGCUGAACUUAA